rnacentral:rRNA from 1 species
UACGUAGGUGGCAAGCGUUGUCCGGAUUUACUGGGUGUAAAGAGCGUGCAGCCGGGCUGACAAGUCAGAUGUGAAAUCCCGCGGCUCAACCGCGGAACUGCAUUUGAAACUGUCAGUCUUGAGUACCGGAGAGGUCAUCGGAAUUCCUUGUGUAGCGGUGAAAUGCGUAGAUAUAAGGAAGAACACCAGUGGCGAAGGCGGAUGACUGGACGGCAACUGACGGUGAGGCGCGAAAGCGUGGGGAGCAAACAGG